AUUGAACGCUGGCGGCAUGCUUUACACAUGCAAGUCGAGCGGCAGCGCGGGGGUAACCCCUGGCGGCGAGCGGCGGACGGGUGAGUAAUGCAUCGGAACGUAUCCCGUAGUGGGGGACAACCCAGCGAAAGCUGGGCUAAUACCGCAUAUGCUCUACGGAGGAAAGUGGGGGACCUGAAAGGGCCUCACGCUAUGGGAGCGGCCGAUGUCCGAUUAGCUAGUUGGUGGGGUAAAGCUACCAAGGCGACGAUCGGUAGCUGGUCUGAGAGGAUGAUCAGCCACACUGGGACUGAGACACGGCCCAGACUCCUACGGGAGGCAGCAGU
rnacentral:rRNA from 1 species